CAACCACACCCACCUGAACCUGUUCCUCUCCUUCAUCCUGAGAGCCGUCUCGGCGCUGCAAGGAUGACGCGCUGUGCUCCAGCUCCGGCACGCGGCACUGCCCCGACCGACAGUCCUCCUGGGCAAAGCUGAGCCAGCCUGCAGGAUGGAAAGCCUUUGGUGAGCAGGGAGGAGGCAAAGAGGAACAGAGGCAGAAAGGAGAACCUGCAGCCUGAAGAACCACAAUCCCUCAGAACACUUCCAAUCCUGGGAGCUGCCACAGGGCAUUCCCCUCAAGUUCCCAGAUACCUGCUGUCCAUCAUUUUAACGCUCUCUCAGGAAAAGCCAAGGAAGUUUCCUCUAUGAGAUACAAGGUCUUGCUGCCAAGUGAGUUACAGAAAGGUCUCCAGGUCCCAGAUGAUUUGGGGGUCCCAGAUGAGGGAUGAGAAGCAUAGUGGUGAGAUGCAGAGUGGCCCAGACACCCCAGAAGCCCAUGCAGCUUUCCCACCAUGCAAGGCCCUGUGUGCAGCCUGGUGGUGGCUCCCAGGCCCAGGGCUCCCAGCUCCUGUCUGAGGAAGAUCUGAGCUCCAGUGGAGGUGCAGCAGGGAAUCAGGGCCAAGCUGGACAGACCAGAUGAGGCAGGCAUUGGUGUGGCUGCAUGUGGCUUCUUUUUCUUCAGCACACCCCUGCCUGGCCCAAUUAAAUGACCAUACUUCGCACAAAGGCACAGAGGUUUCCUAAUAUCCACUCACAGAGGCCAUUUUCACAUCUCCAGGUGCCCAAAAGUCCCUCAACACAGGCUUGUCUGCGCAGAUGGUGCAUUGGCCCCAGUCACACCGCAGACCUGACCUCUCGAGGAGACCACCCCCCACCACGGGGUUGCCUCUUCACAGAGUCCUUUGUGUUCCCUCUCCCCUCUCUCCUGCCUUAUUUCCAGGGA